rnacentral:rRNA from 1 species
UACGUAGGUGGCAAGUGUUGUCCGGAAUUAUUGGGCGUAAAGCGCGCGCAGGCGGAUCAGUUAGUCUGUCUUAAAAGUUCGGGGCUUAACCCCGUGAUGGGAUGGAAACUGCUGAUCUAGAGUAUCGGAGAGGAAAGUGGAAUUCCUAGUGUAGCGGUGAAAUGCGUAGAUAUUAGGAAGAACACCAGUGGCGAAGGCGACUUUCUGGACGAAAACUGACGCUGAGGCGCGAAAGCCAGGGGAGCGAACGGG